GACAGAGGGUGCAAACGUUGUUCGGAAUUACUGGGCGUAAAGCGCGUGUAGGCUGCUUCGCAAGUCGGAUGUGAAAGCCCUGGGCUCAACCCAGGAAGUGCAUUCGAAACUGCAGAGCUGGAGUCCUGGAGAGGAAGGCGGAAUUCUCGGUGUAGAGGUGAAAUUCGUAGAUAUCGAGAGGAACACCGAUGGCGAAGGCAGCUUACUAGGCUGUAACUGACGCUGAGGCACGAAAGUGUGGGGAUCAAACAGG
rnacentral:rRNA from 1 species